GGUGCAGUAAUUAUGCGAAUAUUUUUAUUCCUCAGAAUCUGCAACUGUCCAAAAGGAUGCUGCUGCUGCUGUUGCUUCAGAACCUGAGAUUCCUCAGAACUACGAUGCUGCAGCAUCAAAUUUUAACAGCUUAGAAGAGUUGGAGUCUGUGGAAACCUCGGCACCAUUACCAUUGGAAGAUAUAGGCGAUCUUCAUUGUGAGGAGGCUGUAGAUUUUGAGCACGCC